rnacentral:rRNA from 1 species
CCUACGGGUGGCUGCAGUGAGGAAUAUUGGUCAAUGGGCGCGAGCCUGAACCAGCCAAGUAGCGUGAAUGAUGACUGCCCUACGGGUUGUAAACUUCUUUUAUAAAGGAAUAAAGUGAGGCACGUGUGCCUUUUUGUAUGUACUUUAUGAAUAAGGAUCGGCUAACUCCGUGCCAGCAGCCGCGGUAAUACGGAGGAUCCGAGCGUUAUCCGGAUUUAUUGGGUUUAAAGGGAGCGUAGAUGGGUUGUUAAGUCAGUUGUGAAAGUUUGCGGCUCAACCGUAAAAUUGCAAUUGAUACUGGCUGCCUUGAGUACAGUUGAGGUAGGCGGAAUUCGUGGUGUAGCGGUGAAAUGCUUAGAUAUCACGAAGAACACCGAUGGCGAAGGCAGCUUACUAAACUGCCACUGACAUUGAUGCUCGAAAGUGUGGGUAGCAAACAGGAUUAGAUACCCUUGUAGUC